rnacentral:rRNA from 1 species
AACGAACGCUGGCGGCAUGCCUAACACAUGCAAGUCGAACUAGACCUUCGGGUCUAGUGGCGCACGGGUGCGUAACGCGUUGGAACCUGCCCUUAGGUUCUGAAUAACUCCCCGAAAGGGGUGCUAAUACCUGAUAAUGUCUUCGGACCAAAGAUUUAUCGCCUUUGGAUGGGCCCGCGUUGGAUUAGCUAGUUGGUAGGGUAAAAGCCUACCAAGGCGACGAUCCAUAGCUGGUCUGAGAGGAUGAUCAGCCACACUGGGACUGAGACACGGCCCAGACUCCUAAGGGAGGAAGCAGUGGGGAAGAUUGGACAAUGGGCGAAAGCCUGAUCCAGCAAUGCCGCGUGAGUGAUGAAGGCCUUAGGGUUGUAAAGCUCUUUUAACCGGGAUGAUAAUGACAGUACCGGGAGAAUAAGCUCCGGCUAACUCCGUG